UACGUAGGGUGCAAGCGUUAAUCGGAAUUACUGGGCGUAAAGCGUGCGCAGGCGGUUUUGUAAGACAGAGGUGAAAUCCCCGGGCUCAACCUGGGAACUGCCUUUGUGACUGCAAGGCUUGAGUGCGGCAGAGGGGGAUGGAAUUCCGCGUGUAGCAGUGAAAUGCGUAGAGAUGCGGAGGAACACCGAUGGCGAAGGCAGCCCCCUGGGCUAGCACUGACGCUCAGGCACGAAAGCGUGGGGAGCAAACAGG
rnacentral:rRNA from 1 species